rnacentral:rRNA from 1 species
ACUGAACGCUGGCGGCAUGCCUUACACAUGCAAGUCGAACGGCAGCACGGACUUCGGUCUGGUGGCGAGUGGCGAACGGGUGAGUAAUAUAUCGGAACAUACCUUGUAGUGGGGGAUAACUAUCCGAAAGGAUAGCUAAUACCGCAUACGCUCUAAGGAGGAAAGUGGGGGAUCGCAAGACCUCAUGCUAUAAGAGUGGCCGAUAUCUGAUUAGCUAGUUGGUGAGGUAAAGGCUCACCAAGGCGACGAUCAGUAGCGGGUCUGAGAGGACGACCAGCCACACUGGAACUGAGACACGGUCCAGACUCCUACGGGAGGCAGCAGUGGGGAAUUUUGGACAAUGGGGGCAACCCUGAUCCAGCAAUGCCGCGUGAGUGAAGAAGGCCUUCGGGUUGUAAAGCUCUUUUGUCAGGGAAGAAACGGUUGUGGCUAAUAUCCAUGGCUAAUGACGGUACCUGAAGAAUAAGCACCGGCUAACUACGUGCCAGCCGCCGCCGUAAUAC